rnacentral:rRNA from 1 species
GAUGAACGCUAGCUACAGGCUUAACACAUGCAAGUCGAGGGGAAACGACAUCGAAAGCUUGCUUUUGAUUGGCGUCGACCGGCGCACGGGUGAGUAACGCGUAUCCACCCUGCCCACCACUUGGGGAUAACCUUGCGAAAGUAAGACUAAUACCCAAUGACGUCUCUAUAAGACAUCUGAGAGAGAUUAAAGAUUUAUCGGUGAUGGAUGGGUAUGCGUCUGAUUAGCUUGUUGGCGGGGUAACGGCCCACCAAGGCGACGAUCAGUAGGGGUUCUGAGAGGAAGGUCCACCACAUUGGAACUGAGACACGGUCCAAAAUCGUAGGGGAGGCAGCAGUGAGGAAUAUUGGUCAAUGGACGAGAGUCUGAACCAGCCAAGUAGCGUGCAGGAUGACGGCGCCAUGGGUUGUAAACUGCUUUUAUAAGGGAAUAAAGUGAGUAUCGUGAGACUUUUUGCAUGUACCUUAUGAAUAAGGACCGGCUAAUUACGUG